UGAACUAGGCAAAAUAGCACCGUAACUUCGGGAGAAGGUGCGCUGCUGACGGUGAAGGCCUUGCGCCGUAAGCUGUUGGCAGCCGAAGUAACCAGGCCGCUGCGACUGUUUAUUAAAAACACAGCACUCUGCAAACACGAAAGUGGACGUAUAGGGUGUGACGCCUGCCCGGUGCCGGAAGGUUAAUUGAUGGGGUCAGCCGCAAGGCGAAGCUCUUGAUCGAAGCCCCGGUAAACGGCGGCCGUAACAAUAACGGUCCUAAGGUAGCGAAAUUCCUUGUCGGGUAAGUUCCGACCUGCACGAAUGGCGUAACGAUGGCGGCGCUGUCUCCACCAGAGACUCAGUGAAAUCGAAAUCGCGGUGAAGAUGCCGUGUACCCGUGGCUAGACGGAAAGACCCCGUGAACCUUUACUGUAGCUUCACACUGGACUUUGACAUGAUCUGUGUAGGAUAGCUGGGAGGCUUUGAAGUGGUGACGCUAGUUGCCAUGGAGCCGUCCUUGAAAUACCAGCCUGGUCCUGUCGGGGUUCUAACGUCGACCUGUUAUCCAGGUUACGGACAGUGUGUGGUGGGCAGUUUGACUGGGGCGGUCUCCUCCCAAAGAGUAACGGAGGAGCACGAAGGUGCGCUAAUCACGGUCGGAAAUCGUGAGGUUAGUGUAAAGGCACAAGCGCGCUUGACUGCGAGACAGACAAGUCGAGCAGGUACGAAAGUAGGUCUUAGUGAUCCGGUGGUUCUGUAUGGAAGGGCCAUCGCUCAACGGAUAAAGGUACUCCGGGGAUAACAGGCUGAUACCGCCCAAGAGUUCAUAUCGACGGCGGUGUUUGGCACCUCGAUGUCGGCUCAUCACAUCCUGGGGCUGAAGCCGGUCCCAAGGGUAUGGCUGUUCGCCAUUUAAAGUGGUACGCGAGCUGGGUUUAGAACGUCGUGAGACAGUUCGGUCCCUAUCUGCCAUGGGCGUUGGAGAUUUGAGAAGAGUUGCUCCUAGUACGAGAGGACCGGAGUGAACGAACCUCUGGUGUACCGGUUGUCACGCCAGUGGCAUUGCCGGGUAGCUAAGUUCGGACGGGAUAACCGCUGAAAGCAUCUAAGCGGGAAGCCUCCUUCAAGAUGAGAUCUCCCUGGAGCUUUAAGCUCCCUGAAGGGCCGUCGAAGACUACGACUUUGAUAGGCGAGGUGUGGAAGCGUUGUGAGACGUUGAGCUGACUCGUACUAAUUGCCCGUGCGGCUUGACU
rnacentral:rRNA from 1 species